rnacentral:rRNA from 1 species
AGCUCCAAUAGCGUAUAUUAAAGUUGUUGCAGUUAAAACGCUCGUAGUUGAAUUUUUGCUGUACGAAACAUAGCUAUCUUCGGAUUUGUCUUUGUUUCAGACAGCAUUAUUCUGAUUCUAUGACAACUUGUUGUUAUAGUGUCGGAUAUGUUACUUUGAAAAAACUAGAGUGUUUCAAGCAGGCAUAACGCCAUGAAUACUCCAGCAUGGAAUAAUAAGUGAGAACUCAGGUUCUUCUUGUUGGUUCAAGGGCCAGAGUAAUGAUUAAUAGGGACAGUUGGGGGCAUUCGUAUUUGGUAGCUAGAGGUGAAAUUCUUAGAUUUACCAAAGACGAACUACUGCGAAAGCAUCUGCCAGGGAUGUUUUCA